rnacentral:rRNA from 1 species
GGUGACUGCGUACCUUUUGUAUAAUGGGUCAGCGACUUACAUUCAGUAGCAAGGUUAACCGCAUAGGGGAGCCGUAGGGAAACCGAGUCUUAAUAGGGCGUAUAGUUGCUGGGUGUAGACCCGAAACCAGGCGAUCUAUCCAUGAGCAGGUUGAAGGUUGGGUAACACUAACUGGAGGACCGAACCCACUGUCGUUGAAAAGCCAGGGGAUGACUUGUGGAUAGGGGUGAAAGGCUAAUCAAGCCUGGUGAUAGCUGGUUCUCCCCGAAAGCUAUUUAGGUAGCGCCUCGGACGAAUACCAUUGGGGGUAGAGCACUGUUUCGGCUAGGGGGUCAUCCCGACUUACCAAACCGAUGCAAACUCCGAAUACCGAUGAGUACUAUCCGGGAGACAGACUGCGGGUGCUAACGUCCGUAGUCAAGAGGAAAACAAUCCAGACCGCCAGCUAAGGCCCCAAAAUCAUAGUUAAGUGGGAAACGAUGUGGGAAGGCAUAGACAGCUAGGAGGUUGGCUUAGAAGCAGCCACCCUUUAAAGAAAGCGUAAUAGCUCACUAGUCGAGUCGGCCUGCGCGGAAGAUGUAACGGGGCUAAAACUAUGUGCCGAAGCUGCGGAUGUAUACAUUGUAUACGUGGUAGGGGAGCGUUCUGUAAGCCGAUGAAGGUGGAUUGAGAAGUCUGCUGGAGGUAUCAGAAGUGCGAAUGCUGACGUGAGUAACGACAAAACGGGUGAAAAACCCGUUCGCUGAAAGACCAAGGGUUCCAGUCCAACGUUAAUCGGGGCUGGGUGAGUCGACCCCUAAGGCGAGGCCGAGAGGCGUAGUCGAUGGGAAAUUGGUUAAUAUUCCAAUACUUCAGUGUAAUGCGAUGAGAGGACGGAGAAGGUUAAGUCAGCCUGGCGUUGGUUGUCCAGGUGGAAGGCUGUAGGCAUGCAUCUUAGGCAAAUCCGGGGUGCUCUAUGCUGAGAGCUGAUAGCAAGCUAGUUUACUAGCGAAGUGGCUGAUACCAUGCUUCCAGGAAAAGUCUCUAAGCUUCAGUUACACUGGAAUCGUACCCGAAACCGACACAGGUGGUCAGGUCGAGUAGACCAAAGCGCUUGAGAGAACUCUGCUGAAGGAACUAGGCAAAAUGGUACCGUAACUUCGGGAGAAGGUACGCUGUUGACGGUGAUGGGACUUGCUCCCUGAGCGGUUGACAGCCGCAGAAACCAGGCCGCUGCAACUGUUUAUUAAAAACAUAGCACUCUGCAAACACGAAAGUGGACGUAUAGGGUGUGAUGCCUGCCCGGUGCUGGAAGGUUAAUUGAUGGGGUUAGCGUAAGCGAAGCUCUUGAUCGAAGCCCCAGUAAACGGCGGCCGUAACUAUAACGGUCCUAAGGUAGCGAAAUUCCUUGUCGGGUAAGUUCCGACCUGCACGAAUGGCAUAAUGAUGGCGGCGCUGUCUCCAGCAGAGGCUCAGUGAAAUCGAAAUCGCUGUGAAGAUGCAGUGUACCCGCGGCUAGACGGAAAGACCCCGUGAACCUUUACUGCAGCUUGACAUUGAACUUUGACCUUACUUGUGUAGGAUAGGUGGGAGGCUUUGAAGUUGGAACGCCAGUUCCAAUGGAGCCGUCCUUGAAAUACCACCCUGGUAAUGUUGAGGUUCUAACUCUGUCCCGUGAUCCGGGACGAGGACCAUGUCUGGUGGGUAGUUUGACUGGGGCGGUCUCCUCCUAAAGAGUAACGGAGGAGUACGAAGGUGCGCUCAGCGUGGUCGGAAAUCACGCGUAGAGUAUAAAGGCAAAAGCGCGCUUAACUGCGAGACCCACAAGUCGAGCAGGUACGAAAGUAGGUCUUAGUGAUCCGGUGGUUCUGUAUGGAAGGGCCAUCGCUCAACGGAUAAAAGGUACUCUGGGGAUAACAGGCUGAUACCGCCCAAGAGUUCAUAUCGACGGCGGUGUUUGGCACCUCGAUGUCGGCUCAUCUCAUCCUGGGGCUGAAGCAGGUCCCAAGGGUAUGGCUGUUCGCCAUUUAAAGAGGUACGCGAGCUGGGUUUAGAACGUCGUGAGACAGUUCGGUCCCUAUCUACCGUGGGCGCUGGAAAUUUGAGAGGAUCUGCUCCUAGUACGAGAGGACCAGAGUGGACGAACCUCUGGUGUACCGGUUGUGACGCCAGUCGCAUCGCCGGGUAGCUAUGUUCGGAAGGGAUAACCGCUGAAAGCAUCUAAGCGGGAAGCCUACCUCAAGAUAAGAUUUCCCUAGGAAUUUAUUCCUCUAAAGAGCCGUUCGAGACUAGGACGUUGAUAGGUUGGGUGUGGAAGCAUAGCGAUAUGUGAAGCUGACCAAUACUAAUUGCUCGUGAGGCUUGACUAUACAACACCCAAACAGUUG